rnacentral:snRNA from 1 species
AGCUCUCUGCGGUGGCUGUAUCAUAGCCAAUGAGGUUUAUCCAAGGCAUGAUUAUUGCUAAUUGAAAAUGAG